rnacentral:tRNA from 1 species
GGCAGGUUGCCCGAGCGGCCAAUGGGAGCGGACUGUAAAUCCGUCGCGAAAGCUACCCAGGUUCGAAUCCUGGACCUGCCACCA